rnacentral:rRNA from 1 species
AUUGCACGCUGGCGGCAGGCUUAACACAUGCAAGUCGAACGAGUGGCGGACGGGUGAGUAAUGCUUGGGAAUCUUGCUUAUGGAGGGGGAUAACUACGGGAAACUGUAGCUAAUACCGCGUACCAUAGGAUGAGCCCAAGUGGGAUUAGGUAGUUGGUGAGGUAAAGGCGCACCAAGCCGACGAUCUCUAGCUGGUCUGAGAGGAUGACCGCCCUCACUGGAACUGAGACAGGGCCCGGACUCCUACGGGGGGCAGCAGUGGGGAAUAUGUCGCAAUGGGGGAAACCUGACGCAGCAAUGCCGCGGGAAUGAAGAGGGCCUUCGGGUGGUAAAGUUCUUUCGGUGGCGAGGCGUUAACUACAGAAAAAGCACCGGCUAACUCCGUGCCAGCAGCCGCGGUAAUUC